GCUGUUACAUUGACGGGUUUUCAAGAUCAGAUUUUGUUGUUACAUUGAUUCAACAUCUUGUCCCAUUAAAAGUAUUAGACAUAUUCGAGGAUAUGCAAAAGAGUAAGAGAUACAUGGUUGUAAUGAAGAAAUUACAAAAGACAUCAUCGAUACAUGAUGAUAUGCAAAGAGAGCAAGGAGGGAAAAGUAAGAUGGAUUUUGAUGUUGUUAAUGUCAAGAUCAUCACUGAUUCAUGUGAUUUUGCAAGACUUGAAGCAAAUAUGUUGAAGGGAGAUGUGGGAAGUUAAGAUGGUAUGUUAGUAUGUCUAAGAAAUCAUAUACAUCAGUUUUUUUCACUUGUAAUUUUCUCUCAUCAUUGUAUUUGUACCAGUCUUUAGGCCGAGUCUUGUGUUGUUUAUAGUUUCAUUAUUAAUUGCAAAAUUACUUUUCUUUGUUCA